rnacentral:rRNA from 1 species
AGUGAACGCUGGCGGUAGGCCUAACACAUGCAAGUCGAACGGCAGCACAGUAAGAGCUUGCUCUUACGGGUGGCGAGUGGCGGACGGGUGAGGAAUACAUCGGAAUCUACUCUUUCGUGGGGGAUAACGGAGGGAAACUUACGCUAAUACCGCAUACGCCCUUCGGGGGAAAGCAGGGGAUCGCAAGACCUUGCGCGAGUGAAUGAGCCGAUGUCGGAUUAGCUAGUUGGCGGGGUAACGGCCCACCAAGGCGACGAUCCGUAGCUGGUCUGAGAGGAUGAUCAGCCACACUGGAACUGAGACACGGUCCAGACUCCUACGGGAGGCAGCAGUGGGGAAUAUUGGACAAUGGGCGCAAGCCUGAUCCAGCCAUACCGCGUGGGUGAAGAAGGCCUUCGGGUUGUAAAGCCCUUUUGUUGGGAAAGAAAAGCAUCCGGUUAAUACCCGGGUGUUCUGACGGUACCCAAAGAAUAAGCACCGGCUAACUUCGUGCCAGCAGCCGCCGUAACAC